rnacentral:misc_RNA from 1 species
GAUGAAGAACGUAGCGAAAUGCGAUACGUAAUGUGAAAUGCAAAUUCAGUGAAUCAUCGAGUCUUUGAACGCACAUUGCGCCCCCUGGUAUUCCGGGGGGCAUGCCUGUCCGAGCGUCAUUGCUGCCCUCAAGCACGGCUUGUGUGUUGGGCCCCGUCCUCCGAUCCCGGGGGACGGGCCCGAAAGGCAGCGGCGGCACCGCGUCCGGUCCUCGAGCGUAUGGGGCUUUGUCACCCGCUCCGUAGGCCCGGCCGGCGCUUGCCGAUCAACCCAAAUUUUUAUCCAGGUUGACCUCGGAUCAGGUAGGGAUACCCGCUGAACUUAAGCAUAUCAGUAAGCGGAGGA